AUUGAACGCUGGCGGCAGGCCUAACACAUGCAAGUCGGACGGUAGCACAGAGAGCUUGCUCUCGGGUGACGAGUGGCGGACGGGUGAGUAAUGUCUGGGGAUCUGCCCGAUAGAGGGGGAUAACCACUGGAAACGGUGGCUACUAACGCAUAACGUCGCAAGACCAAAAAGGGGGACCUUCGGUCCUCUCACUAUCGAAUGAACCCAGAUGGGCUUAGCUUGUAGGCGGGGUAACGGCCCACCUAGGCGACGAUCCCUAGCUGGUCUGAGAGGAUGACCAGCCACACUGGAACGGAGACACGGUCCAGACUCCUACGGGAGGCAGCAGUGGGGAAUAUUGCACAAUGGGCGCAAGCCUGAUGCAGCCAUGCCGCGUGUAUGAAGAAGGCCUUCGGGUUGUAAAGUACUUUCAGCGGGGAGGAAGGCGAUAAGGUUAAUAACCUUGUCGAUUGACGUUACCCGCAGAAGAAGCACCGGCUAACUCCGUGCCAGCCGCCGCAGUAA
rnacentral:rRNA from 1 species